ensembl:lncRNA
CUUUAUAACAGUAGAAUAUAACAGUAUAACGACUUUAUAACAGUAGAAUGACUUUAUAACAUUACUUUAUUUUCACUAGCUCUGAGCAGCACCAAGCACAUGCUCUACAUGUGAUAAACAUACAAUCAUGCUCGCCUCACGGUAGCACAUCAAGCAGAACGCCCUCCCAUAAACCCUGAGUCUGCUAGAACAAAUACAAAUUCUAGCAGACUAGUAUUGAGACUCAAUGCUAAGGCUGCAGGUGUUUUGGCUAGGGUCAGUCGAUUACUAUGGCUUUCAGAUCAGUGUUAAUGCUAACAGAGAAGUGCAAUGGGAAGAUCUGUUAUAUGGCUAGCAGGUCAGUGCUGGGGCUAACAGGUCAGUGCUGGGGCUAACAGGUCAGUGCUGGGGCUAGCAGGUCAGUGCUGGGGCUAACAGGUCAGUGCUGGGGCUAGCAGGUCAGUGCUGAGGCUAGCAGGUCAGUGCUGGGGCUAGCAGGUCAGUGCUGAGGCUAGCAGGUCAGUGUUGGGGCUAGCAGGUCAGUGCUGAGGCUAGCAG